GGUUGUGGAACCCUCAAGUCAGUGUUAGCACCGAGAUACGGUGUUGUCUUUAAUCGAGUCUUGAUUGUUAGACUUGUAAGGGAUCCGUUUUAGUAGUUGGUCGUGUGGCCAAGGAUUAUUAUUAGAUUAAGGUUGAGCAUACCUUAGUCGGUGUGUUUUCGGAUUAGCCUUAAGCUUUGUUUACUGCGCUUAGGCUAAGUUGAUAGUUAUUUUGGGGUUGUCGGGGAUAGCUACAAGGUUUUGGGUAGAGGUAGCCAGCUCACUGAGUGACCUUACGUUACUCACCCAACUCUCGUUGUCCUUUUUGCAGGAAACCAGGUUGUAGAGGAUUGGACGCAUAGGCCACCGGAGUAGAUUUGCAGUGUAUUUGGCUAUGGUUUGAUUCUUAAAACAUUUUAUGUUUCCGUUGCGUUUUAUUUUGAUUGGGGUCCCUAAAAUAUUUAAAUGUUCUUAAAAGACCUUGAAUUGAAUUUAAAAAUCAAUGGGUCCAAUAUGAUAUUGGUUUAGUCCGAACCAACACAAUGUUAGGUCUUGGUACGGGUUGAGAAGUCUUAGGCCUUGAUCUAACGGAACCUUUAACUUUGGGUGUAGGUUGCAAAUCCUUAAGCCUUGAGUUAGUGGGACGUGUUAAUGGACGAACUGCUCUAGGUCGUAGAGUAAAUUUUAUGACUCUGGCCGGAUUGUCCCUAGCCCGUCAUGUAGCGCUUCCGGACCAUGGUGUUGGGU
rnacentral:lncRNA from 1 species